rnacentral:miRNA from 1 species
UGAGGAUGAAACAUUUGUGAC